UACGUAGGUGGCAAGCGUUAUCCGGAAUUAUUGGGCGUAAAGCGCGCGCAGGCGGUUUCUUAAGUCUGAUGUGAAAGCCCACGGCUCAACCGUGGAGGGUCAUUGGAAACUGGGGAACUUGAGUGCAGAAGAGAAAAGCGGAAUUCCACGUGUAGCGGUGAAAUGCGUAGAGAUGUGGAGGAACACCAGUGGCGAAGGCGCUUUCUGGACCAGUAGCUGACGCUGAGACACGAAAGCGUGGGUAGCAAACAGG
rnacentral:rRNA from 1 species